UACAGAGGGUGCGAGCGUUGUUCGGAAUUACUGGGCGUAAAGGGCUCGUAGGCGGCCAACUAAGUCGGACGUGAAAUCCCUCGGCUUAACCGGGGAACUGCGUCCGAUACUGGAUGGCUUGAGUUCGGGAGAGGGAUGCGGAAUUCCAGGUGUAGCGGUGAAAUGCGUAGAUAUCUGGAGGAACACCGGUGGCGAAGGCGGCAUCCUGGACCGACACUGACGCUGAGGAGCGAAAGCCAGGGGAGCAAACGGG
rnacentral:rRNA from 1 species